rnacentral:rRNA from 1 species
AGGGAAUCUUCCACAAUGGACGCAAGUCCGAUGGAGCAACGCCGCGUGAGUGAAGAAGGCUUUCGGGUCGUAAAACUCUGUUAUUGAAGAAGAACGUGUGUGACAGUAACUGGUCAUGCAGUGACGGUAUUCAAUCAGAAAGUCACGGCUAACUACGUGCCAGCAGCCGCGGUAAUACGUAGGUGGCAAGCGUUGUCCGGAUUUAUUGGGCGUAAAGCGAGUGCAGGCGGUCUUUUAAGUCUGAUGUGAAAGCCUUCGGCUUAACCGAAGAAGGGCAUCGGAAACUGGGA